CUGGCGGCCGCCUACACAUGCAAGUCNAACGGAAACGAUGGGAGCUUGCUCCCAGGCGUCGAGUGGCGGACGGGUGAGUAAUACAUAGGAAUCUGCCCAGUAGCGGGGGACAACCUGGUGAAAACCAGGCUAAUACCGCAUAAGCCCUACGGGGGAAAGCAGGGGAUCUUCGGACCUUGCACUAUUGGAUGAGCCUAUGUCAGAUUAGCUUGUUGGUGGGGUAACGGCCUACCAAGGCGACGAUCUGUAGCUGGUCUGAGAGGACGAUCAGCCACACUGGGACUGAGACACGGCCCAGACUCCUACGGGAGGCAGCAGUGGGGAAUAUUGCACAAUGGGGGAAACCCUGAUGCAGCAAUGCCGCGUGUGUGAAGAAGGCCUGCGGGUUGUAAAGCACUUUCAGUGGGGAGGAAACAGUUACGGGUUAAUAUCCCGUAGCCUUGACGUUACCCACAGAAGAAGCACCGGCUAACUCUGUGCCAGCAGCCGCGGUAAUACGAAGGGC
rnacentral:rRNA from 1 species